rnacentral:rRNA from 1 species
AACGAACGCUGGCGGCGUGGAUUAGGCAUGCAAGUCGAGCGGGAUCUAUCGAAGCUUGCUUUGAUAGUGAGAGCGGCGAACGGGUGAGGAAUACAUGGGUAAUCUGCCUUUUAGUCUGGAAUAGCUUCGGGAAACUGGAGGUAAUGCCGGAUGUGAUCGGUCACCAUAAGGUGAUUUGUUUAAAGAGGGGGAUCUUCGGACCUCUCGCUAAGAGAUGGGCCCAUGUCCUAUCAGCUAGUUGGUGAGGUAAUGGCUCACCAAGGCUAUGACGGGUAGCUGGUCUGAGAGGAUGGUCAGCCACACUGGGACUGAGACACUGCCCAGACUCCUACGGGAGCUGCAGUCGAGAAUCAUUCACAAUGCACGAAAGUGUGAUGAUGCGACGCCGCGUGAAGGAUGAAGGCCCUAGGGUCGUAAACUUCUGUCAGAAGGAAAAACAGCACUUGGAUAA